rnacentral:lncRNA from 1 species
GGACCAUCUUGCCAACAGCUGACACUGAUCUUUCUACGUGAGCAAUGUCCUCUACAAAACAACCUAUUGCAGUUUUUGCAUUAUUUACACUUUUAACCUGAAGACUGGUCACUAAGCAAUGCAUUUGAUGUCUGCUGAUUUGAGCAUUCACUAUGUGCACUAGGUAGUGAUGGUAUUGCAAAAGAAACAGCAAUAUUUUGCAUCAUUUUAAGAAAUCAGUACUGAAAACAAUUAAGCAAAUAAAGCAACAUGAUCUUUAAA